GUAUGCUUGUGUUCAUUUGGGAUAAAAUGUGCUUUGCAGGGUGCUUAUGCAUAGGGAAGCACACUGUGCCUCACCAGCCUAGGAACAUUCUAGAGAAGGCCAGGGGGAAAGGGGGGAUCUCAACCUGUGGAAUGGAGAACUAUGAGCAUGUGAUAAAUAAACCCAUAUAUGGAAAGGUUAAAUCUGAUUGGUUAGAGGUUUAUAUUAGGUAACUUAACUUGUUAUGUAAGUGCCAUGUGCUAUAAAAUAGCAAGGGGAAGGGUCCUUGUUGGAGGGGACUCUGCCUGAUUCUUUGUACCAGGGGCUCUCCUUGUGCACAUAUUGAAUAAAGCCUUGUUGAAUUGAA